rnacentral:rRNA from 23 species
AAAUUGAAGAGUUUGAUCAUGGCUCAGAUUGAACGCUGGCGGCAGGCCUAACACAUGCAAGUCGAACGGUAACAGGAAGCAGCUUGCUGCUUCGCUGACGAGUGGCGGACGGGUGAGUAAUGUCUGGGAAACUGCCUGAUGGAGGGGGAUAACUACUGGAAACGGUGGCUAAUACCGCAUAACGUCGCAAGACCAAAGAGGGGGACCUUCGGGCCUCUUGCCAUCAGAUGUGCCCAGAUGGGAUUAGCUAGUUGGUGAGGUAACGGCUCACCAAGGCGACGAUCCCUAGCUGGUCUGAGAGGAUGACCAGCCACACUGGAACUGAGACACGGUCCAGACUCCUACGGGAGGCAGCAGUGGGGAAUAUUGCACAAUGGGCGCAAGCCUGAUGCAGCCAUGCCGCGUGUAUGAAGAAGGCCUUCGGGUUGUAAAGUACUUUCAGCGGGGAGGAAGGUGUUGUGGUUAAUAACCGCAGCAAUUGACGUUACCCGCAGAAGAAGCACCGGCUAACUCCGUGCCAGCAGCCGCGGUAAUACGGAGGGUGCAAGCGUUAAUCGGAAUUACUGGGCGUAAAGCGCACGCAGGCGGUCUGUCAAGUCGGAUGUGAAAUCCCCGGGCUCAACCUGGGAACUGCAUUCGAAACUGGCAGGCUUGAGUCUUGUAGAGGGGGGUAGAAUUCCAGGUGUAGCGGUGAAAUGCGUAGAGAUCUGGAGGAAUACCGGUGGCGAAGGCGGCCCCCUGGACAAAGACUGACGCUCAGGUGCGAAAGCGUGGGGAGCAAACAGGAUUAGAUACCCUGGUAGUCCACGCCGUAAACGAUGUCUACUUGGAGGUUGUGCCCUUGAGGCGUGGCUUCCGGAGCUAACGCGUUAAGUAGACCGCCUGGGGAGUACGGCCGCAAGGUUAAAACUCAAAUGAAUUGACGGGGGCCCGCACAAGCGGUGGAGCAUGUGGUUUAAUUCGAUGCAACGCGAAGAACCUUACCUGGUCUUGACAUCCACGGAAGUUUUCAGAGAUGAGAAUGUGCCUUCGGGAACCGUGAGACAGGUGCUGCAUGGCUGUCGUCAGCUCGUGUUGUGAAAUGUUGGGUUAAGUCCCGCAACGAGCGCAACCCUUAUCCUUUGUUGCCAGCGGUUAGGCCGGGAACUCAAAGGAGACUGCCAGUGAUAAACUGGAGGAAGGUGGGGAUGACGUCAAGUCAUCAUGGCCCUUACGACCAGGGCUACACACGUGCUACAAUGGCGCAUACAAAGAGAAGCGACCUCGCGAGAGCAAGCGGACCUCAUAAAGUGCGUCGUAGUCCGGAUUGGAGUCUGCAACUCGACUCCAUGAAGUCGGAAUCGCUAGUAAUCGUGGAUCAGAAUGCCACGGUGAAUACGUUCCCGGGCCUUGUACACACCGCCCGUCACACCAUGGGAGUGGGUUGCAAAAGAAGUAGGUAGCUUAACCUUCGGGAGGGCGCUUACCACUUUGUGAUUCAUGACUGGGGUGAAGUCGUAACAAGGUAACCGUAGGGGAACCUGCGGUUGGAUCACCUCCUUACCUGAAAGAAGC